AUUCAUGUGGUCGAAGUGUUGUGUCUUGAUUUUGGCAGUGGCCACACCAAUAUAUACUGCACAUGGCAUAAAAUUACAUAGAACCAAAUAUACACAUGUACACAAGUGAGUGUACAUAAUACUCAUAAAAUCUGACAAGAUCAGUAUCUUAUAAUUUUUUUGGUUACACUAUUGAACAUAGUUAUGCCAACAUUUGAGGGAAAUUGUGCAUUGUUUGGGGAAACUGGGUGAAGGGUAUAUGGGAUAACUGGAAUUUCUUACAAUUACAUGUGAAUCAACAAGUAUCUCCGAAUGAAAUGCUGAGGAGGCACCGGAUCUUUUCACCAUGUGAUUCCAUCUGUGGCUCUCCUCCAACUCAGCCAAAGCCCUGAUUCUCCAGGAAGAAGUAAGAGCUUGUAAAGAAAAGGCCUGAAAAGCCAGAAAAGGAACCAUACAGCAGGAGGGAGUUGAGAAACUCAAGUUCCCAAGUUAGGUGUUACUUGUGAUUUCAUCACUCACAGCAGCUGCCAGGAGACAUCUGCGUCUAUCCCUCUGGGAACCAUCCAGAAGGACCGCUCCUCUUGUGGCUGCCAUCUCCUCCUCACCUUUGUCAGAGCUGCACUGGGGCCUAGCUGAGUCUACUGAAACUGCAGUUAAGAAAUAACCAAAUCACCACCGUACUACCUUUGCCAUGUUCCAACCACUGCCUGGCAGCAGCAACUGGCCAAAUGUUCAUCAUGUCCAUUUCUCUUCUAGGACACACAUUUGGACUACAGUUUCUAAUCUCCCUUGAGCUCCCCGCCUCCAUUCCAGGCUCCUAGGGCAGUGAAGCUCAGCGGGUCCCAGCACCCGGAAGGAAGCCC